AGUGAACGCUGGCGGUAGGCCUAACACAUGCAAGUCGAACGGCAGCACAGGAGAGCUUGCUCUCUGGGUGGCGAGUGGCGGACGGGUGAGGAAUACAUCGGAAUCUACCUUUUCGUGGGGGAUAACGUAGGGAAACUUACGCUAAUACCGCAUACGACCUUCGGGUGAAAGCAGGGGACCUUCGGGCCUUGCGCGGAUAGAUGAGCCGAUGUCGGAUUAGCUAGUUGGCGGGGUACAGGCCCACCAAGGCGACGAUCCGUAGCUGGUCUGAGAGGAUGAUCAGACACACUGGAACUGAGACACGGUCCAGACUCCUACGGGAGGCAGCAGUGGGGAAUAUUGGACAAUGGGCGCAAGCCUGAUCCAGCCAUACCGCGUGGGUGAAGAAGGCCUUCGGGUUGUAAAGCCCUUUUGUUGGGAAAGAAAAGCAGCCAGUUAAUACCUGGUUGUUCUGACGGUACCCAAAGAAUAAGCACCGGCUAACUUCGUGCCAGCAGCCGCGGUAA
rnacentral:rRNA from 1 species